rnacentral:rRNA from 1 species
GGAUGUUGGGUUAAGUCCCGUAACGAGCGCAACCCUUGUCCUUAGUUACCAGCACGUUAUGGUGGGCACUCUAAGGAGACUGCCGGUGACAAACCGGAGGAAGGUGGGGAUGACGUCAAGUCAUCAUGGCCCUUACGGCCUGGGCUACACACGUGCUACAAUGGUCGGUACAAAGGGUUGCCAAGCCGCGAGGUGGAGCUAAUCCCAUAAAACCGAAUCGUAGUCCGGAUCGCAGUCUGCAACUCGACUGCGUGAAGUCGGAAUCGCUAGUAAUCGCGCAUCAGCCAUGGCGCGGUGAAUACGUUCCCGGGCCUU